GACGAACGCUGGCGGCGUGCUUAACACAUGCAAGUCGAACGAAGUGGCGGACGGGUGAGUAACGCGUAAUCAACCUGCCCUUCAGGGGGGGACAACAGUUGGAAACGACGCCUAAUACCGCCAACCGAUGGGGGUGAUGGCGGCUGAAUCGCUAGUUGGAGGGGUAACGGCCCACCAAGGCGAUGAUCAGUAGCCGGUUUGGGAAGAUGAACGGCCACAGUGGGAAGGAGACAAGGACCAGGAUCCUACGGGAGGGAAAAGUGGGGAAACUUCCGCCAUGGAGGAAAGGCUGACGGAGCAACGCCGCGGGAGUGAAGAAAGCCUUCGGGUUGUAAAGGUAUGUUAAUCGGGACGCGGUACCGGAAUAGAAAGCAACGGCUAACUACGUGCCAGCAGCGGCGGUAAUUC
rnacentral:rRNA from 1 species